UACGAAGGGGGCUAGCGUUGUUCGGAAUUACUGGGCGUAAAGCGCGCGUAGGCGGUGAUCCAUGUCAGAGGUGAAAGCCCGGGGUUCAACUCCGGAAUUGCCUUUGAAACGGGAUCGCUAGAGUCCGAGAGAGGAUGGCGGAAUUCCUAGUGUAGAGGUGAAAUUCGUAGAUAUUAGGAAGAACACCGGUGGCGAAGGCGGCCAUCUGGCUCGGUACUGACGCUCAGGCGCGAAAGCGUGGGGAGCAAACAGG
rnacentral:rRNA from 1 species